rnacentral:rRNA from 1 species
GCCUCGGCGCUGGCUGCCCCUCCCCUCGGGGAGGGGGCCCCCUCCCGGUCGUAAAAAAGCCGGGGGAGGACAGCAGGCCCGCCGGCGGCCUACUUAACUCUUGUAUUUUUGAGUAAAAUCUGAGUAAAGCUUCUAAAUAAGUUAAAACUUUCAACAACGGAUCUCUUGGUUCUGGCAUCGAUAAAGAACGCAGCGAAAUGCGAUAAGUGAUGAGAAUUGCAGAACUGAGUGAAUCAUCGAAUCUUUGAACGCACAUUGCGCCCUCCGAAUUCCAGAGAAAUGCCUGUUCGAGCGUCAUUUCACCCCUCAAGCCUGGUUUGGUGUUGGGGAAUUACCUGACUGUCUUUACGGACAGGAGGGUAAGCCCUGAAAUUCAGUGGCGAGCUCGCCAGGAAUCCGAGCGCAGCAGUGUAAACCUCGCUUUGGAUUGUACUGGCGCGGCCCUGCCGGAAAACCCCCAACUUAUGAAAAUUUGACCUCGGAUCAGGGAGGAAUACCCGC